UGACAGAGUUAGGAGGGAGUGACUAGUGACGGAGAGAGGGAUGGGGUGACUAGUGACAGUCACCCCCUCCCUCACUCUGUCACUAGUCACUCCCUCUCUCACUCUGUCA